rnacentral:sRNA from 1 species
AUCGCGGCGAGCCGGGCGGUUCGCUGCCCGCGACGUUGUGAGAAGUCCACUGAACCUUAUCAUUUAGAGGAAGGAGAAGUCGUAACAAGGUUUCCGUAGGUGAACCUGCGGAAGGAUCAUUGUCGAUGCCUCGCAACCAACUCGACCGGCGAACUUGUUUAUCUGCCUGGGGGCGGCCCGGGGUGUUCGGCACCCCGACCUCCCCCUGCGUCGGGAGGCGGUCGGUCGUGCCUGGCUUCCUCUCGACGAACACAAACCCCGGCGCUUCGCGCGCCAAGGAAUUAGAAAUUGUUCGGUGCAGUCCCGGGGAGCCGGAGACGGCGUUCCUGCGGGUCGUGCCCUGACACACUAUGCAAAACGACUCUCGGCAACGGAUAUCUCGGCUCUUGCAUCGAUGAAGAACGUAGCGAAAUGCGAUACUUGGUGUGAAUUGCAGAAUCCCGUGAACCAUCGAGUCUUUGAACGCAAGUUGCGCCCGAAGCCAUUAGGCCGAGGGCACGCCUGCCUGGGUGUCACACAUCGUUACCCCGCACGGACGCCUCGCUUCGGGCAAGCGCUGCGUGGGGUGCAUGCUGACCUCCCGCGAGCACCGUCUCGCGGUUGGUUGAAAACCGAGUUCGCGGACGGGCGCGCCGCGAUAAAAUGGUGGACGAGCACCGCUCGAGRCCGAUCGCGCGCGGCUCUGUCCGGCGAGAACUCCCGGGCCCCUGUGCGUCCCCGGACGCUCUCGGCGAGACCUCAGGUCAGGCGGGGCUACCCGCUGAGUUUAAGCAUAUCAAUAAGC